rnacentral:rRNA from 1 species
UACGUAGGGUGCGAGCGUUAAUCGGAAUUACUGGGCGUAAAGGGCGCGUAGGCGGAUUGGCAAGUCAGAGGUGAAAGCCCGGGGCUCAACCCCGGAAUUGCCUUUGGGACUGCUUGUCUGGAGUUCGAGAGAGGUGGGUGGAAUUCCGAGUGUAGAGGUGAAAUUCGUAGAUAUUCGGAGGAACACCGGUGGCGAAGGCGGCCCACUGGCUCGACACUGACGCUGAGGCGCGAAAGCGUGGGGAGCAAACAGG